GAUCAUGGCUCAGGAUGAACGCUAGCUACAGGCUUAACACAUGCAAGUCGAGGGGAAACGACAUCGAAAGCUUGCUUUUUGAUGGGCGUCGACCGGCGCACGGGUGAGUAACGCGUAUCCAACCUGCCCACCACUUGGGGAUAACCUUGCGAAAGUAAGACUAAUACCCAAUGAUAUCUCUAGAAGACAUCUAGAAAGAGAUUAAAGUAUUUAUCGGUGAUGGAGUGGGGAUGCGU
rnacentral:rRNA from 1 species